AGGUCACUGACAUUAGGAUACCCGUGUAGUCCAGGGUGUAAACGCUGCAGACUUGGUGUUGGAGGCCCUUUGGGGGCAUUCAGUGCCGGAGAGAAGUUGUUAAGUCUGCUACUUGGGGAGUACGUCCGCAAGGAUGAAACUUAAAGGAAUUGGCGGGGGAGCACCGCAACGGGAGGAGCGUGCGGUUUAAUUGGAUUCAACACCGUAAAACUCACCAGGGAAGACUGUUACAUGAAGGCCGAGAUGAAGACUCUGCUAGAUUUUCAG
rnacentral:rRNA from 1 species